rnacentral:tRNA from 1 species
UGUCAAGGGAUGGGAAUCGAACCCACGACCUUCAGCUUACUGGGCAGAUGCCAUGACCACUAGGCUAUCCUGGAC